UACGAAGGAGGCUAGCGUUGCUCGGAAUCACUGGGCGUAAAGGGCGCGUAGGCGGCCAUUCAAGUCAGGGGUGAAAGCCUGUGGCUCAACCACAGAAUUGCCUUUGAUACUGUUUGGCUAGAGACCGGAAGAGGUAAGUGGAACUGCGAGUGUAGAGGUGAAAUUCGUAGAUAUUCGCAAGAACACCAGUGGCGAAGGCGGCUUACUGGUCCGGUUCUGACGCUGAGGCGCGAAAGCGUGGGGAGCAAACAGG
rnacentral:rRNA from 1 species